rnacentral:rRNA from 1 species
GCCCCGGUAAACGGCGGCCGUAACUAUAACGGUCCUAAGGUAGCGAAAUUCCUUGUCGGGUAAGUUCCGACCUGCACGAAUGGCGUAAUGAUGGCCAGGCUGUCUCCACCCGAGACUCAGUGAAAUUGAACUCGCUGUGAAGAUGCAGUGUACCCGCGGCAAGACGGAAAGACCCCGUGAACCUUUACUAUAGCUUGACACUGAACAUUGAGCCUUGAUGUGUAGGAUAGGUGGGAGGCUUUGAAGUGUGGACGCCAGUCUGCAUGGAGCCGACCUUGAAAUACCACCCUUUAAUGUUUGAUGUUCUAACGUUGGCCCGUAAUCCGGGUUGCGGACAGUGUCUGGUGGGUAGUUUGACUGGGGCGGUCUCCUCCUAAAGAGUAACGGAGGAGCACGAAGGUUGGCUAAUCCUGGUCGGACAUCAGGAGGUUAGUGCAAUGGCAUAAGCCAGCUUGACUGCGAGCGUGACGGCGCGAGCAGGUGCGAAAGCAGGUCAUAGUGAUCCGGUGGUUCUGAAUGGAAGGGCCAUCGCUCAACGGAUAAAAGGUACUCCGGGGAUAACAGGCUGAUACCGCCCAAGAGUUCAUAUCGACGGCGGUGUUUGGCACCUCGAUGUCGGCUCAUCACAUCCUGGGGCUGAAGUAGGUCCCAAGGGUAUGGCUGUUCGCCAUUUAAAGUGGUACGCGAGCUGGGUUUAGAACGUCGUGAGACAGUUCGGUCCCUAUCUGCCGUGGGCGCUGGAGAACUGAGGGGGGCUGCUCCUAGUACGAGAGGACCGGAGUGGACGCAUCACUGGUGUUCGGGUUGUCAUGCCAAUGGCACUGCCCGGUAGCUAAAUGCGGAAGAGAUAAGUGCUGAAAGCAUCUAAGCACGAAACUUGCCCCGAGAUGAGUU